rnacentral:rRNA from 1 species
AUACGAAGGGUGCAAGCGUUAAUCGGAAUUACUGGGCGUAAAGCGCGCGUAGGUGGUUUUGUAAGUUGGAGGUGAAAUCCCCGGGCUCAACCUGGGAACUGCCUCCAAAACUGCAUGACUAGAGUACGGUAGAGGGUGGUGGAAUUUCCUGUGUAGCGGUGAAAUGCGUAGAUAUAGGAAGGAACACCAGUGGCGAAGGCGACCACCUGGACUGAUACUGACACUGAGGUGCGAAAGCGUGGGGAGCAAACAGGAUUAGAUACCCUAGUAGUCC